UGAGUGAAUGUUAGUACCCAUCAUGGU
rnacentral:piRNA from 1 species